rnacentral:lncRNA from 1 species
ACAAGUAUUAAUAAGUUUUUAUAAGAGGUAAAUAAUGAAGAGGGAGAUUCCAUACAUUUAAUAUGGGAGGUUAAUUAUUUAAAUGAAAGUAUAUCCAAUGCAAGAAGGGAAGGGGGAAAGCUACGCGCAAGAUACCCGUUAUCCACCACCACAGCGCUGUUCCGUCUCCAGCUGUUUCACAUACAUGCAUACAUACACCUUCGCCUUCCUCUCCUCCUCCUCCUCCUCCUCUCUAUAUAUACGCAAACGCCGCUCUUCACCGCAUCAUUCAUCCACACAUAGAGAGAGCCUCGUACUCCAGCCUUAUUUGUGGAAUCCUUCCAUCCGAUUUUGCUUUGUACUCCCGACAUAUGAGUCGUGAGUGAGGCAUAACAGGAGAGAGGCCUCGAUCGGAUCUAGUGAAUCAGGAGGGGAAAGAGAUGGAGCUGUACAUGGAGGAGAAGUGGAAGCUGUCCAAGAAGGGAAGCAGGAGCUGCAACGGGAGCAGAAGAGUGAUGGGAGCAGAGGGAGUUGGGCCCUUCUUGAAGGGUUCGGCGAGCACGAGGGAAGGGAGGAGAACGGCCGCACCGGGCUCCUUCUCCAGCCGCUUCGCCAGCCUGGUGAAGGAGCAACGAGCCAGGUUCUACAUCAUGCGCCGCUGCGUCACCAUGCUCAUCUGCUGGCGAGACUACCCCUGAGGUUUCCGCUCCUCCCAACCAACAACAAGGGAAGGAAAGGAAGAGGAGGUGGAAGGCUUAUAUAGAUAGAUCAGAGAGUAGAAGUUCUAUUUUUCUUUCUUCUUCUUCUUCUUCUUCUUCUUCUUCUUCUUCUUCUUCUGGAUGUACAAAUCGAUUACUUGGUUUGUGUUGUUAGAUACACCGGGUGAGGUUUUGGAUCUCCUGUAAAGGGGAUGAAGGGCUCAGACGCCCUGCUGUAAGCUACGAUGGUUCUUGUUGAUUAUUCCCUUACUGCAGCCGAACAAAUGGUUCUUUAAAGAUGGACUGUGUUCCCGCAGGGGGCGUCUUCUUUUUGGCUUCCAUUUGGAGAAGGAAUAUAUUCCCAGUGUCCUGCAACCCAUCUUCACCGCUGCUGCUUCGUCCUCUUUUGCUCUUUCCCAUGGUUUUUUAUUCAUUUCUCCUCUGCCGUGAAUUGAUUGAUGGAUGGAGAGAGAGAGAGAGAGACAGAGAGAGAGCUGUGAAUGAAUGAAUGAGGGGAGCGAUGGCAGCCACUGACAUGCUGAAUUAUUGCUUUACCCCUUUGUAUCCUUCGUCUACAAAACGGUGAAGGUGGUGGCGUCACGUUAGCGUAAAAAUGAGGGGGUAAAAAUUUAUGAGCAUACGAAGCUGCGAGGGUUGGAAUCGGGCAACGUGAGGAGGCGCUACUGGACCUGGCAAAGGGGCAGCGGCGUUGGCCGCUUCCCUCCGUCCAAAUCUGCCAUUAAACUGUUGUUGGAGUACCACUGUGUCAAACUUAUUACGAGGAAGAAGACAUUGAUGGAAGUGGCUUAGUAGUAUCUUUUCCACAGAAGACUGACCCAAAUUACCCCUUUUCUUCUUCCUUCACGCCAAAUCCAUAAAAAUUUCCUUGCAUCAUUUAUCUUCCGCAAUAUUCCAAUGAUUCAUUCGACGACCAGCUGGCCAGCAGCGACGCUGUUCCUCUCUACUUAAAGCCCUUUUGUCCUGCUCUCUUCUCCAUCAGUCCCCCUGCCAUCACAUGCUUUUCACGUGCGAGAUACCAGUGCAUCCAACGGGAAGCGAUGCUCCUCCCACGGUGGGCCGUACGGUUGCCACUUAGACCGCAGAAAUCCUCACAUGGUGCUCGAAUUCCGAGAAAAGUAAAAUUAUAUCGAUUAAUCACGUAAAUUAAACCUAUUAUUAGGGCCUCUCGAUUCAUAAUACUUCGUUAUCGAGGAAGACCUCAGAACAACGGGAAAGGAAACAGGGUUGGAGCUUCGAGAUCCAUGCUCGACAGGUCACACCCACCGAUGUCGCUGUGUCGAGAAACAUUUUGUGUGCUGCCAAUAGUGGUUUUGUCGACGCCAUCUACCUAAAUAUCGUAUGCGAUGGUGUAGAUUCAGAACACGAAAAAGGACUCGAUGACUGUGCACCUUUUGAAUUCGUGACAUGGUUAACCGGGGGUGGGUGUGUGUCGUGAUUCGUGCUGUGGUAUGGUAAUCCAUCAAGACCCUGGUGACAUUGGACCGUGACCGCGUCGGAUCGAACCGGGUCCGCAUUGGGCCCGAGACCAAGCCGAAAUAAUUAACCGGUGAGCUGUUUUGAUCCGAUGUGAGUCGGUCGUCGACAUGCCAUAUGGCUUUACGCAGUACGACAAGAUGCCAUCGCGAGCGACAGACAAAAAGUAGCGGAUCGUGAUCGGCCGAACAGGAGUUCGAUGAGAUUAGGCGGAUAAGGAAUCCCGAGUCCAUCCGAUUGGAGCACAUGUCCUCCACAGGUUUUAGAUGAGGGAGGUGAGUGGGUUGGGCGGGGCGGGUGGCGAGUCCGACGAUUCCAACCCGGACACCCGAUGGUGGGAGUGGGACAGACUGGACCGCACGUGGGGCGUGCGACACCCACCCACCCAUCAUUGCGAUUUGACCCCCGCGAACCGGGCCUCACCCGUCACCGCCGUCGGAUGCCGAUCGGACGGAUCCGUUCGCGUCCAGAUAUGGCCGGUCAACGGUCACGUCCGCCCGCGGCAGCCUUCGGCCCCGCCGCGGCGCCAUCCAUCGCCCUUGGUCGCAAGCAGCUUCACGUGGUGGCGGGCCCCGCGACACGUGGCUGUGAUGGGACGCGAGAGGUUCACGUGGGGCUGUGGGGGCCGUGGGCACUGUUCGUUGACGCAAGGUGCGGCGGGAUUCCCAUUCGAACGCGACCGUUGUCGUUAUGCCUUCUCUCACCGCCGUGGGUGUAUACGCGUACGUAUAAAUCGUAGGUGUGCCUUUUAGCUCAAAUGUCUUCACUAUACGUGUCAUAAUUUUUAUUAUUUGGCACGUCAUAAUUUCUGAGACUUAUGUUAUUAGACCCAUUAAAAUUGAUCCGAGUCAAGCGACUCUGAAACACUGAUUUGGGCCGAUUUGGGUCGCUAUUCUCUCGAAUUUUUACUGUAGUCUUGAUGAGUUCGAUUGAAUACUCCAAAAAGUUUUAUCUUCUGGCAAGGUUUAUGGUAUCAGUCAAUACAUCCAAUUUAUUUGAUGAGAAGCUAUUUAUAAUUAUCUUGAUCUCCAUCUUCUUGUAGUAUGUAUGUAUUGGAUGCUGAAAUCAUGCAUUUCUCAUUCAUCUUUGGUUGCUCGCAAACUAUAUAUCAUUCUUCCAAGUGAUUAGAUCCACAGCUUUUACUGGUCAUUUAUUCGGUAUCGACUAUGAUAUUUUAACAUCAUUAAUUUAUAUAAAUAAUAAUAUUUUUUAUUUAAUAAAAAAAUAAAAAAAAUAUUUAUAAAAAUAUUCUUCGGUAUUUAUUAAUCGAACAGGUCAUGCAAUCUCUAACAUUUUAAAUAUACUGUCUUUAUUCAUAUGAUUAUCUUCACACAUUCACUUCAACAUUCUAAUUUAAAAAAAUAUUAUAUAUUAUCUUAAUCAUCUAAUAUUAAGAUUUAUAAAGUGUCAUUUGACCAUGUAAAAAAUUUAGUGAUCACAUAAAACUUAUAACGUGUGAUGAUAGUAUGUAUAGUUCUAUUUAUAUAAAGACACGGGUGUUGGGCCUGUUAUAUUCGUCGAUGAAUCUUCCUCUUCCAUGGAUUCCUAUCCAUGACGCGGGCUCUUAUCUACCUCGAAAUUUGUGCUUAAGCAAUGAUUGAUUGAUCCUGAUCGUGCAGUAGCUUGUUUUCUCGUUCGGUUCACGAGAAUUGAAGCUGAAACAAUUUAAUGCAGCACUCAAAUUGUUGUUAUAUAUAUAUAUAUAUAUAUAUGGAUCUUUGGGCUGGGCUUCAGAAUCAGGCCCUAACGUAGACCCACGUAGCAACGUCCAUGGCACCGGCACACAGGUCAUUGAUGAAGCUCACAAGAGACCACAUGGGCGGCCGCAUUUGUGUUAGUUGCCGGUCACUGCACUAUCCCAUCACCGACUCGCUUCUUCCCACCUAUUAUUCGUCGCUCACGAUCGCGGGCUUCGUAGUCAAAUCGAGUUACCUCCAGCGGGAGCAAAGGCACGAUCGAUCACGAUGGCAAGGAAUAAGACCACGAGUCACGUCAGGAAUAAGACUCGAUUAUUAGCUGCCUCGACGUAGUACAUAUAUACAUGCCUCUACACAUGGACCCACUGCGCACGUAUUUACACUACCACAAGACGGAUCGUUAAUAGUGAUCACGGGCUCGCCACACCGAGUUGCCGACUCGCCUGGUCGCACCGCGCCGGCGCGAACCCGACCCGAGCGUUCUCCAGGUCGUACUCCACCCACACGUUCUGCUGGUGAUGGUGCCCGAUCACGUACGCCGACAGUGGCACCAAGUCCGAGUUCCCGAACGUGAAGCACCAUACCGCGUCCGCCCCUCGCACCUCGCCCGGCACCCGGUACAGCAGCGUCUCCCCCCCCACCGCCACCUCCGCGCCGCCUCGCAGCAGCAGCACCACCGCCGGCAGCCCCGGUGGGGGCUCCUCCCUUGCCGCUGGCACCCGGAAGCAGAGGUCGAACGCCCCCUGGAACACGAAGUCCGGCUCGCCCAGGGGCGCGAGCGCGCCCCUGGUCUGCCGCGAGAACUCCGCCUUGAGCGCGUCGUAGGCGGGGCCGAGGAGGAACGUGAACUGGCUGCCGGAGUCGACCAUGGUCUGCCCGGCGCCGGUGUGGUCCGGGACGAGCACGGACUUGGGGAUCGGGAGGAGGGCGUGGCCGACGCGGAUGCCCUCGAGCUGGACGGAGUAGGCGACCCGGUCGAAGUAGGGGAGGGGGAGGGUGAUUUGGAUCAAAGGGGUGUAAUUGAACGGCAGCGGGAAGGGGGGCUCCGCGUUGCCGAGGAGGAGCAGUCCGAAGGCGUCGUGAUCCGGAAUGCAGUAGGAGAAUCGGCGGAUGCCGCUCUGGGUCACGAAGGAGAGGGAUCCCCUGUUCAUCCCGAGCAGCCCGGCGGCGUCGGUGUCGCCGCCAGAGGAGGAAUAGGCGGAGGCCACGCAGGCGAAAACGGUGGGCAGUGAGGGCGAGCUGCCCACGAGGAAGGAGUCGGUGGCGAUGGCGCCGUCGGCGGUGGAGGCGUCAGCAUAGGAGAGGUAAACAUGGCAACGACCGCCGGGCGAGGAGGCGUCGCAGAUGGGCGGCAUGGGGAGGUCGCGGCCGCGGUCGCGACAAGUCGGGGAGUAGCAGGGGACAGGGUGGUAGGAUGACGACCUGUUGGGGUCGAAGGAGUGCGCAGCGGAAGAGUUGCAGAGGAGCCAGGAGAGCUCGCUUCCGGUGUCGAGCACCAUGGAAACGUUCUGCGGCGGCGUGCCGACGGCGAGUGGGACGGUGAGGCUGACAUUAUGGUGGAAGAGGAGCUUGUUGGAUGGCUUGCGGAGAGCCAAAGAUGGCACCUUUUGGACUCUUAGCGGCAGUACAAGAGACAAAGAUGAGCCCUUUGCACCACCCGUAGUACUCGAGGAACGGGAGGUGAAUGGCUGGAGAAGAAAAAGCAGCAGAAAUAGAAGAAAACACUGAGAGUUAGAAGCAGAGGAGAUCAUGCCGUCUGAUUUCUUCUGGUUUCUGCGACUCUCUGGAUUUGGAUGGAGAAGGAACUAUGAAGAGAAGCGUCGUGUUAGUGGAACUCGGAAUGCCGUAGAAUCGAAGGAACCAACAUUUAGAACAGUAGUGAUGGGUGCUGAUGGCAGAGGAGGGGGAGGCAAGAACUGGUUGUGAGAUAUCUGUGUAGUAUACGGUUAAGAAGCGUCUCUGUCCUGUCCUUCCCGUGCGCUGGGAGAUUAAGGAGACAGCUUUGAAAUGACAAUGAGAAAGAAGGUUGCAGAUUUCCAUCUGAUUUGACUUGAUUUUGAUGUUUGGUGACAAUGCGAUGAUUCAGAAAGGGACGUCGUCGUGUUAGGCAUCCAAAGUAGGUUUGCUGGUUCUGCAUCACUGCCACUUCGUCAAAGAAGAACACACCCUACAAGAAAAGCCGCAAUACUAAUGGUGUCUUUAUGGCUGUAGAACUACACACAAAGCAUGGCGACGGAUUCAAGUAAUGGGAACAUCAUGAUUCGUGCACAACCUUCUUUGACUCCCUGAAAGCUCGAAUGUCGAUCGUCAUCAUUGAUCCCUCGUAGAGAAGCAACGCAAGCUUCGUCACCAACUAGUGUGUUGCGGUCAUGUGGAACACCAGCAUUGUACGAAGCUUGACAGGAUCGCAAGGUGGCCAGUCCCACGCAGUGAUGUGGAAGGAAGGCGAUGGCAGAGCAGUUGAGGACCACAGCUUGGUGAUCCCAGCGAAAUCGACUCCAUAGAUGUGCUGUUGACAUCAUCCCAUGCUCUCGAGGCUUCAAAAAGUGGAGGGUUUUCCAAUCUAAUUAGAAGAAUUCUUUUAGCGUCUAAUCAUACUUUCCUUCACAUUAAUUAGUGUUAUUUUAGAUUUUGGUUAUCUCACAUUACAAGUGAAGGUGAGACACAGGUGAUCUUGCAAAACUAACCUGAGACAUAUUUGAUGAGGAUGCAUAUCUAAUGCUUGAGUUAUUGAAGUCACAUGAUCCAAGAAAUAGAUAUGUGAGUCAAUAUGAUACACCUGAAGGCUUUUUUUAUAAUUGAGUUUGAGCAACAAUUGAAAUAAAAUAAAUAUUUAAUAUGCUAAAUACUAGAUAAAAUCAUUAAUCAUUAUUCAAUCAUGAAAUUGUGCAUCGAAAGCUUUCGUGUCGAGAUGAAUGAAUCUCUAUAUUGGUACUAAAUAUAGACUACAGGUCGAAUUCACAAAACUAAAAGUGUUUAGUGAAACGUGAUAUAAUAUCCCUCAAAUUAUCCAUACAUCAAUCCCCCUUUAUCAGUUGCAGACGAAGAAGAAGACACCCCUUUAUCGAGGAAGAUUGUACAUGUAUUCAGCUGUCACUUUGGACUAUGGAGUUUGGUCCAUAAAUCAAAGAUGACGACCGCAGCAAAACGCCAACCCACAUACAUGCCAAAGUGACAACUGUUGCACUGCUCCACACGAUAAAACCGAGCACUAAUCGCUUGCCUUCGUUGAUUGCAUUGAAGGAUGAAACAAUGCUUCGAAGGCAGUGAGCUCAAAAGAUUGAAUAGCGAGCAGUAAACUCUCUUGCAGCGGAAAGCAACAGGCAAGUGAUUUCAGAGGCCAUGUGAUUGCAAUGCAGAUAGAACCACGCAACCAUUAAAACUUGCCGGUGACAGGACAAGCACUGUCUGCAGGCAUCAGCACACAUGCUUAAAGCAACCAAGCUUUUUUGGCUUCUGCUGGUGAAGUAGUGCCGAUUUAGCAAGUAAAUAGUAUCUGAGCUCAUCAACUGUUCUACUGAUGUCUUCUGCUGUGUCUCGAUCAUCUUUACAUGGAUAAAAGUCAAAUUUCCAAGAUGAUGAGGAUCUUCAGAAACCUUUUGUGUGUGAUGACAAAUCAUGUGGAAAAUGAGGGGUUAAGUAUAGCAUCUACUGAGCCUCAUGACACUCCUUGGGUAAAAUUUUCUUUUAUCCCCUCAAACAUCAUUAAUUGCCUCUUCUGUCAACCAUGCUUGAUGAGUACUGUUGCACCAAACAGGUGGUCUAAAUUCUGUUCAGGAAUACCAGGGAAAGAAAACAGAGUAUUAUGAUGCACAGUGCUAUAAGAACCAAAAGAGGGGAGGCAUUCUGCAGAGCUCACAUAUUCUUGAUAGCAGUUGGUGCUCAGGUUCUACAAUCACCUGUCAGCAUAUCAGAAUCUGAUACAUUGAUUUAAGCCAUCAUGUUGAAUAGAAAAUCCAGCAGUCUUUGCAAGACAAAGUCAUGGGUCUAACAUGGAGUGCAAGAACAGACAUCAUAGGAAUCUCUCCUUCUGAAUCUCUGUGAAUGUGCAGCUGGACUUGAUAGCUUAAUAUAUGUGUGUUGUACUAUCCUGGAGCUUAAUAUAAAAUUCAUGCUAAACCCACUUAAAUGAUUUGGUACUAUGGUGCCAUGCUUGACUCACCUAAGCUGUUUGCAUUAUUGUCUUAGAACAAGUUUUUUGCAAGCAGCAACUCCAUGAGUCAUUCUAUCCUACUGCAGAACUGUUUCAGUUGCUGUUUGAAAUCAGUACUGCUUUCCUGGGUUAGGCAAACUUAUCAGCUGUNNNNNNNNNNNNNNNNNNNNNNNNNNNNNNNNNNNNNNNNNNNNNNNNNNNNNNNNNNNNNNNNNNNNNNNNNNNNNNNNNNNNNNNNNNNNNNNNNNNNNNNNNNNNNNNNNNNNNNNNNNNNNNNNNNNNNNNNNNNNNNNNNNNNNNNNNNNNNNNNNNNNNNNNNNNNNNNNNNNNNNNNNNNNNNNNNNNNNNNNNNNNNNNNNNNNNNNNNNNNNNNNNNNNNNNNNNNNNNNNNNNNNNNNNNNNNNNNNNNNNNNNNNNNNNNNNNNNNNNNNNNNNNNNNNNNNNNNNNNNNNNNNNNNNNNNNNNNNNNNNNNNNNNNNNNNNNNNNNNNNNNNNNNNNNNNNNNNNNNNNNNNNNNNNNNNNNNNNNNNNNNNNNNNNNNNNNNNNNNNNNNNNNNNNNNNNNNNNNNNNNNNNNNNNNNNNNNNNNNNNNNNNNNNNNNNNNNNNNNNNNNNNNNNNNNNNNNNNNNNNNNNNNNNNNNNNNNNNNNNNNNNNNNNNNNNNNNNNNNNNNNNNNNNNNNNNNNNNNNNNNNNNNNNNNNNNNNNNNNNNNNNNNNNNNNNNNNNNNNNNNNNNNNNNNNNNNNNNNNNNNNNNNNNNNNNNNNNNNNNNNNNNNNNNNNNNNNNNNNNNNNNNNNNNNNNNNNNNNNNNNNNNNNNNNNNNNNNNNNNNNNNNNNNNNNNNNNNNNNNUCCAUUAUCUAAGUUAGAUUUACUAGAUUGUAGCACUAACCUGCCAUUGUAGACAUCGCCAAGACAAGGGAUGAAGACAACAUAAAUUAUAUCUGCUAAUAGGCAUCUUUGUCUUCCUGGUAUUGUGGUGCUUGCUGCAGUAGAGACAAAUGAUCAGCUUUGUCUAGCAAGAUACCAUGUCCUCCCUUUCUUGUCUAUUUGUCCUGCACCUAGUUUCCCAUGCCCAUGGCAAGCAGGGCAAACUUUUGUCACAGAUCUUUUCUGGCUCCGUUUGCCUCGCUCGGUGCUGCUCCUGCUGGCCUCCAUCAUAUUUAGUAUUGAUCACCACGCAAGAUUCCUUCAACAAAUCAUUUGAGAAGACAAAGCAGGUUGCAUGGAGAGGUUGAAAACAAUAUCCUGAUGCAGCCAGCUGCAUUGAUCUCCAACCCAGUGCACAGCAGCAAUCAGAGACUUGGUCAGAGGAACGCAUUUGAUACGAACAAGUUCAAUGCAAUCCGAGUAGUCAUGCUGGAUCGCAUUUUUUGAGAUUUCAGUCUCCAACAACCUAACUCUUUUGGAGCUGAGCUGCCACCCACCUUGAUGGCACCUAAAACGUGUCCCCAUGUCUCAGUCAGUGACUCAGUGUCCUUUGAAUGAUGCACUAUGGUAAGUGGGGACAACAUGGUUAUGGCAGCUUCAGCAAGUAUGUAACGUAGUAAAUGGGGAAAAGAUGAUGCUACUCCUUAAAUCCCUGUUGGAUGUCCACACUACACAGUGGUCAAAUGGACUUAAGUGUUGUUUGGACUUUGAAUGGGUUUGAUGAGAGCCAAACCAUCAGAUCCUUACAAUUCCACAAUCUGAAAGGCAAUGCCAUGUAGUGAGCAAGAGUCAGAAAUGCAUACAAAGACUAUGAAGUCAAAAAGUUGGUCUUUUAGGUUCAACUCAGUAACCUGUAAUCGCUAAUCUUCGGCUUGGGUCAACCAUUUUUGCUGAUCAGAAGAAAUGUUGUGAGUUCGGCUUGGGUCAUUACAUCAUCACUGCAUCAGAGACAAGACAACAAGGCAUUAGAAAAGAUUACAUGUUGUAACUGCAUGCAAAGAAUUAAAACCAACAUCAGCAAGUAAAACUAAGGUGGUGUAAUAAAAGAUGCAUUGAAUACUUUGACCAGGUUGAACAAAAGCUACCCAUAAGAUAUAUAGUAUCAAGUCAACUAAAGAAUGAAGAAACCCCUGAGACAUGGUCCACUGAACAUAGGCACUUCUGGUGAAAGGUGGAACAGAGAAUCAUAUCUUGCCUUGCCUUGUAUUUAUGGGCAUUCCAUGGAAUCUCUGACAAACUUGUUCAAAUAUAAGUUCACCUGUACAACAAAUUAAAAAAAAAGGAUCAUACAAUGUACCAUGCCACAGAAAGGACUAAAUCCAUAUGUCGCAUUCAUCUAAGAUUACAUCUUGACCAUGUGAAGAGAGAGAGAGAGAGAGAGAGAGAGAGAGAGAGAGAUUUGUUGUGUCUGCUUGUGAUUUUUUACUAUUGCAGCUGUCCUUCCCAAUGCCAUUAGCAUGUUAUCACUGUUUAAUCAGUUUUGCUUCAUUGUUAACAAGGAUUUUCCUACUUACUAGAGCCUUUUCAACACUGAUUAUAUUCACAAUGCACUGUGAGCAAAGCUACAACUUCUCAGUUCCUGAGCCAAUCAUCCAAAGUGAUGAUUCUAGGGAGGAAUAUCUUGGCAUCAAGCUUUUGUUUACCUGAAAAUUCAUGGAAGACUGUUCAUAAAGACAGCAUGCUACAGAACAUAAUGUAUGAAAGUAUUUAGUAUUCCAUCACCAUCUUAGUAGUUCAGUAGAUCUGAUUUCAUAAUUACUUUGAAGAACUAUAUUAUAGCCUGUCUCAUGCAUCAUGAACGGGAAUCAACCCAUAACAAGAAGACUACUCAAGCAUUUAAUUUUGAGAUCAAGUAAAAACUUGUCUGCUUACAGUCUCACAAAAAGGAUUCCAAUUUAAAAAAAAUUGUUUUACAAUUUCUAUGGUUCCGUUAGAAAAACGAUACAUCAUAACAGCUAAGAAUGAUAUAGACGGAACGAAAAAAGAAGCCUAUCACUCUAAAAUAUAAGACUAGUUCUAAAGCAGCUAAAAAUCCAAUUGUAAUUCCUGAUUUAAAGUUAACAGGCAACUACAUUUCAGUCAACAUACACAAAUGCUCACUAACAUAGCUGGAAGAGAGAGAUGAAUUUUGAACAGAAAAGAACCAACAAAUCCCCUCCUCAAUGAUCAACGAGAAGACAAAUAACAAACAAACAGAUUGAGGAAAGCCAACCACCAGAUAUCUGCCUGUGCAAUCGGAUAGAAAGAUUGCAACAAUAGCUUUAAAAAAGUCCAACCAAAAAGAAAAAGAAUCAUAAAUUCUUCAUGAAGACUUAUACUAGUACAGGUCAACCACCCAUGAGAACAUAAAAUACUGCUCAAAACUAUACUGAUGCUAAUGAUAUGGCAAAUGAAAGGCUAUAAUGUAUAAACAUGCACUUGUAAAUCUCUUCAUGAAUUGUAAAACUAAGAACUUCACAAACAAAAGAAGUUAGAUACACCUUAUACAUGAUAUUAAACUAAUGAGUGGAAAUAAUUCAAACUUUUCUAUUGAAGAUUGAACAACAGCAUAAAUAAUGAAUGUUUAAUUCCAAAAUAACCACACUUCAAGAGGCCAUAAACCUUUGUAAUAUCAGAAAGCUAGACUACAGAAUAAAAGCCACUUACAUGUGGACAAAAGAGCAGAACCGAUUAGGAAAUCUGAAAGGAUAUAGAAAUCAAAAGAUGAUACAUUUUUUUUUAAUCUUCACUAGUCACUGUGGAAUUAUAUCCAGAAAAUUACCAGCCAGCAACCAUUUGCAUCCUUUUUGCAGAAUCAAGUAACUACAGUUUUGCAGAGGAAUUGGAUUGAAGAGCAAAAAGUUGAACUUUUCUACUCAGUUAUCAUCAUCACCAUCCUCCAAUACCCUACUUGUGCUCUGUCCCCGAUAGCUCCUACUGAAGAAUGGAUAUCUCCUGUGUCUAAGAGAAGUGGUUGAGAAAGAGCGAGACUCGGAGGUCAGCCUCAGUGAAGAUGUAGGAGGAGAUCGAAGACGCCUGAAGAAGGAGAAGAAAUUGCGGAAUGCCCGAACAAUUCUUCCACUCUCUCUGGAUCUAUUUCCUCUUGAGGACCACGAUAUCCUUCUCGGUGUGCCAGCGGUCCUAAUUCCUUCAUCCAUCUCUGUGUAAACCAUAGGAAGCUCUCUUUCCGUGCCUCUCCUGCCACCAGUGAACCUCCCAACAGCGAACCCACCACCUGGAAGCCUCCAUAUGGUGAGCCCCACCGUCUCCUCCUCGUUCUCAGCCACAUGAGUCCGCUCGUCGUCCUCCAUUUCUUGCACAUCCGUCGGCAUCUCAUGGCGACAAAGAGGGCAGGAAUUUCUUAGCGAGAGCCAAGGCAGGAUGCAAUCCUGGUGGUAGAUGUGUUUGCAGGGCAUCUCACGGACCUCAGUUCCGAGCUCGAAGGGGUCCUUGCAGACGGCACAAUGGGACUCCGUCGUGAUAUGGCCAUCGGCGAUCUCGAUAGUGGGCAUAGACUCGAUGGCGACCUUCGAAGCCGGCGAGUACUCGAAACCAGGCGCACCGCCGAUUCCGUCAACCUCAGUCUGGGAGAGCUGGUCGAGUAUUCUCUCCAAUCCCGAGCCCAUCAAGAACUCCGACAUGCUUUCCGGCAAGGGGCGGAGACCGGAUCGGGUGCCGUCAUCGUAGUAGAGCUCGAAGCUGCUGUUGGUGGUCCAAUCCGCAUCGCGUCGUCCGCCUACGGGAGGACUGCGAAGAACAAUGACGGGGUUGAAGGGAGAGCGGUCGCCAGUGGACGCACGAUUGUUACGGCGGAACCUAAUUUCCGAGGACUGGCGCCGACGGCCGACGGCCGCGGAGCUGUUGUCGACGGCGGAAGGGACGCGGCGGCGACGAGGCUCGGUAGCGGUCUCGGAGGCAAGAGGAAAGCGGCCAGGCGCGUCAAGGAAGCCACCGCCACAGUCUGGGCAGAUGACUGCGUCCCAGGGCCAAAUGAGGACGAAGCGACAGCAGUGGUGGCACCAGUACGUCGAUGCCGUCUCCAUGGAAGCCAUCAACGACCAAACGAAGAUGGCGAUGGCGUAGGCGGCGGCGCCGACGACGAGGAAGCACCGGAGGAAGAGAGGAGUUCCCUUAAAAAGAUGCAACCAUUGAAGUUUGAUCCCAAAGUCGAACCGAUCUUGGAUGGAAGCCCUAAAAAUCCGAGUUUCCGAGAGAUACAGCACCCACACCGAUCAAACCAUUCAAGAAAUCGCUUCGAUCCAAUCUCCAACUUGAAAUCCCAAACUAUUCCUAACCAAAUAGAGGGGGAAGAAACCCGAAUGUUUUGAGGAGAAUCGAGAAUCCCUUGCUUAAUUUGCAGUCAUAUCCCGCAAGGAUUCGGGGAUUUGGGAGGAUAGAGAAGGAGGGGGGAGGGAGGGAGGUUUUAAGCGCUCGACGAAGCUUCAAUGGCGGAAGCUCGUGCGCGCGGUGGCGUGCUUUGGACGGUCCGUCCGCGUACACACCCGGAGACGCCGUUAUUACGAUGUCAUUCCUGAAGCGAGUUCGCUUGGGUUAUGGUACCCCGACGGCGUUAGUCAACGUAAGGCAGAGCGGGAAGCGGACCACGUGGGGUCAGAGAAGGCGACCCGGGUCGGGCCGAGUCGGCGGGGGGCAUGGUGCAACGACUCGGUCCGGUGUCCGACUACUUUUGCAGCCCGAGUCCAAUUACUAAAAUACCCCUGAUAUAGAUUGGACAACCUGUGGUCCACUAACCCGGGUUUAGUGCCACUUGUACAAUUUCAAGUACAAUUAUUGGAGCGAUAAAAGAAAGAAAUAAAAAAAAAGCCAAAGUGUUUCUAUGUAUAUUUAUACGUAAGGGAAGAAAAGCCAAAGUUUUCUUCUUGGUGGAGAAAAGAUGAGGAAGGGGAUAAUGCCCGUCCUUAGGAAGACAUCCAUGACGUUUGUCAAUGGUUUAGGUUGAUGAAUGGCCUGUGGGACUCAAUUGGUGCAACUCACUCAGCCGCCCUGAGUUGGUCAAUGAUUGGUCAACUUAACAAGAUAUGCGAGUGUUAUGUGGAUCUACGACACGCUCCAAACGAAUGUGACACGAACUAUAAUUUUGGGUCGGGUUGGGGUUAUUGAGCCGUGGUUGCAAGAAGGACCGGCCCACGUCCUCGCCCCAUCUUUUUUACCUCUUCUUGCUAUUUCAAGGAGCAUCAUGGUGAUCUCAUCAAAUCCUGCUUGCAGCAUCAACACCUUGGGAACAUCUUGCGAUGCAUUGUAGAGAUCUGCGUCCAAAUCCUUCGUAGUUUAGGGCGUUUGCCAGUCAUGACGAAACCAAGAUCAUGCACAAAAGAGAUCCAAGAACUUGAGAAACACACAAAUAGAAACUACGAGUAGAGAUAAAUCCACGGAUUUAUGGGUUGUUUAUCCAAGCGGUGCCAACAUGGCACCAAUCAUUUCCCAAGAGACAAAUUUAGCUUCUUUCAAAGUUAUUUCCCAGAUCAACUUGGCUUCUAAAUCUAUUUCCGAAACUGGACACUAGAAAAUAUAAUGAAUCCUUUGUUGCAUAAAGAAAAUCAAAUAAGAAACAGUUCGGUUCUGCUGUUCAUUUAGUUCAAAGAUCUAUAAAGGCAUAAAACACAAAUUUAAACAGCACACUAUAACUUGCAUGUUGAACGUAAUAUCUUGUAAAUAUAGAAAUGAUGAUGGAAAAACCUGGUUAAAUUUUUUUUACUGAAGCCUGUAAAAUUCCCCUCAAAAUCUCUCACCGAACCUAAAGAAUACUGCACCAGUACCAGAAUUGUGAUCCAUGGCGUACUCAGCCCUCACCAUCCCAAGCUUCACACCAGCACCAUAGGAGGAGCCAUGCCCAGCUCGGCGGAAAAAUUCAGUCGGGUUUCCCUUUACAUCCUUCGAACUGCCAAGGUCAUUUCCAUGCUCCGCAAACAAAUAUACAUGGGUGUUCUUCACGGGGAUUCGCAGCUCAGUGGCAAGCUACAGUAUAACAAAAGUCAUGAUUUUGAAUUAUAUUGGAUAGCAUAAUCAAACAAAGAUCAGUUUCUUCAGAAUAUAACACCCAAGAAAAAUGGAACUAUGGAUAAACAACAAGCCAGUGUGUCCUGCUCACCUCGAUAAUGUUCCUGCAGGCACCCAAUUCUCCCAUGUUGUAGCCUCUCACCGAGUAGGGACCUCCAAGAGUGAAAGCAUCAUAGCUUGGGAGGUCUCCAACACAACCACCAUAGUGUCCAUGAAGAACCAGAACAGGUGGUGGCGAUUUACCUAUGCCUUCUUCAACGUUCUUCAAUGGAAUGAACCGGGUUAAUGUGAGCUGGUGGCGGUUGAAGAAUGGAAAGUUGCUGCCGAUUCCAAGACCUUGGUCCAGCUACCAUCAAAAUUCAAUAUGAUCAUUAGAUGAGCAUGUCAUCAUGUCUAGAUGUUCUACUCCAUGUCACUCAGAAAUUUUAUACGAAUGGAGAUGUCAAAUAUCACCGACCAAUGGCAAAAGGGAAAAGAAUGAAUGGUCAAUAGAAAAGUUUUUGACUCAAGAAAAUGAAAACUAUGAUGUCUCCAUAUUCCUUGGAGUUGUGCAUACUCAAGUACAUGAACUAAUACAUAUCCAUAGCUCAAAAACAUACAGGGCAAAUGAGAACUACAUAAUCAGACAUGCAUCAAUUAGUUGUCCAUGUAUAAAAUGUCUAGGAUAACCUGGAUUAGCUGUGACUUACAAGCGCACUACCAUCCAAUCAGUUACGAACAAAUUACUUUAAAAAAAAUCUGGAGGAGAUGGUGAGGUUGAGGGAAAUGAAUCUUUAUGAAUUACGUAGCCAUAUACCAUAUAUGCUAAAUGGUCCAAAUAUUCAACUCUAAAUAAGAAAUUAUCAACAAGCCACCAAUGGAUUACUUUUUAUGUCUACAAUAAUGUUAAAAAUGUAAAUCUACCAUCAUAUCGACACCUUUGAUUACAGAUGCAUGCAAAAAACCUUUAGUUGACAGCAAGACUAGAUACCUGGAAGACAUCUCUCUCACCAACGGUUGCUCCAUUCAGAAACUUUGUGUUGUCACGUGUAAUAUUCGCCUGUGCAAAUGCCAUGCGAUCAAUGCCAGUACCGCUGAGGGUUGUUGGAGGCCCAUCCAUGCUUAAACCACCACUAGGUAACACUCGAGCACCAUGGGUACAAAUGCUAGUAGUUUCAUCACGGGUUGUGAUCUCUUCCAUCACAAGCCCAUAAGUAAAUUUGCUUUGUCGGGUGAAGCUCUGAAAUGUUAACAGUGAGUACUACAGCAGUGAAGAAAUGGAUCAUGGAAAUAAAAUGAAUGGCUAUGUCAACAAUGAUACCUCGGUUAUAUUGGCUUUAAAGCCCACUCUAUCAAUCCAUACAGGUGGAACUUCAUCUACACCUGGACCACCAGUGAAGACAGGACUUAACUUCCGGCUGUUAAAGCAGCUGGUGCGGAAGGUUCGGUUGCGAGGGUUGGUCACACCAUCUAGAUAAGGGUGCACAUAUUCAAGCUUGAAAGACAAAUCAUCCUGAACAAGAGUGAGAAAAUUACAUAAUAAGUCAAACUAACACAAUAAAUCACUGAAAGCUCACAAAUAUCGCACGAGCAUAUGAAGGUUUGUGUUUAUCUCCUAAUUCUCUACUCACAUUUCCAACAAUAACUAAAUUGAGAUUAAGGAAAAAUGAAUGGAAGAAUUGCUUUUUUCAAACCAGUUCGAUGUCAGAAGAAAGCAAACAACCACUGGACACACCAACAGACAAAAAUUUCUGACAUGGGCUAAAUAACUUUUAAAUCAUUAUAAUCCACAGAGGAAAUUGAAAGUCCUUACUCCUGAAAAUAAGAAUAACUCCACCAGAAAAUUGAAAAUCCUGACUCUUGACUACAAUAUAAAUAUUAUUGCCAUCGGUGAACCCUUUAGGGCAACCAUGAACAAGCUCCCACUAUUGCCAAUGUUCAGUUUUACCCCUACAUGCAUGAGGAUGUUUACAGUGAUCUCAGUGCAACCUCAAGUUUUUUGAUCAAUUUCAGCACUUUAACAAAACAAAUUUAAUCAAAUCCAACAAUUUGUAAUUCUACAACAAGGAAAUCAAGAUUUACACACCUGAGGAUUGAGAAGAUUGCUCGAUGUAACCGAACCAACAAUUGAUCUGUUCAAACCAUUUAUGUUGCGAUGUUCAAAUGAAACAGUUCCACCAGGUUGAACUGAAGCCUAACAACAAUAAUGCACACAAUGUGAGGAAUCGAUCUCUUUGAAGAAGCAUAAGACAGUUUACAUCUGAAUACCAGCCCAUUCUUACAAACUGAAAGUCAUGUCAGCAUGGACAGAAUUACCAGUGUUGGUCGUCCAUCACGUCCAGGUACGAUACUCCAUUCGGUGCUUACUUCAGCUGUCUUUUGAUCCAUUUCUCUGAGUUUGAUUUCAACUAUUAUGCCUCCUUCAUUCUUUUCAUCUGGUCGUGGGUUCACCUCUAUAUUGGAGAAUAAAGCAAGCGAGUUUAUGUUCCUCAAAGCUUGCUUUCCUGCUUCUAUGUUAAAGACAUGCCCUGGUCGAAGCUGCACAAGAUCAAACAUAUUAUAAUAUAUUUAUAAUAGUACAAAAACAAUAUUCCAAAAAUAAUACAAUGGGUAAGAAAUAAGAAUAGCAAAGUCAAAUCCUCUUAAGAUUUGAUGAUAUGUCAGAGAACCUGGAAUUGGUGGAAUACAAUGUGCAGAACAAGCAGAAAUGUGAUUUAUGACAUACAUGUUUGACAAUUAUAUUAAUCUGUCAGCCUAAUUUAUGUAUAAUCUCAUCAAGAAAACCCUCUCCAGGACCUCAAUGGAUAUUUAAUAUGUACAAAACAAACUCCAGGUUCAGAAUGAUGACUGUUCACAAUAGCAAACCUUUGCAUAUAUGUCCCACGUUGCUCUUGGAAUAUUUAUCUUAAUAACACAAUAACCAAGCUGGUUGUCGGAAAGUCAUCCUUAAAAAGUGAUACAGAUGCUACAGGCAAAAAAAUAUUAAAACCAACAUGGUAAAUGGCCAUCGAAAUAUUAAAACUUGACAGUUUCAACAGAAAAAAUAGCCAAAAUUGCUAGCAGUUGAUCUAAAAAAUUGCAGAUGUGUUCUUAUUAAAGAAGAUAUAAAAAGAAAGAAAUGAAGAUGAGAAUAUAAAGAAGAGAAAGAGAGAGAGAGAUAGAGAGAGAGAGAGAGAGAGAGAGAGAGAGAGACUUGUGUUGAAUCCUUAUGAGUGAAUCACUUCCAUUUUUGCCUUAGCAAAGAAUAAGAAGAAGCAACUAGCAAGAAAUUGCUAUCCAAACUGCCAACAUGAAUGGUAGUUUUCCACCCAGUACGGGUAUCUUAUCCCAUUGCCAAUUUCUAAGAUCCACUUUCUUGAAUUAAUAAAAUAUACAACAUGAUGCUGACCAUUACUUUUGGCAAAUUUUUUUCAUAUAUUCAUUGGAAAUGUUGGUUUUUUUCAUAACCAGCUAACCAUUCAUAAUCGGCUAACUCAUCUUGUAUCAGAUCAGUGAUUAUUCGUUUGAGGUUUAAUUUUUGAUGUUUCUUUCCUUCACUAGUACAAUUGGAUUUAUAAAACUAGUGAAGUUUAGUUUGCCAUGAUUGCGGUUGGAGAUUGGAAGUUCAGUGCAGAUCUCUUUUUCCAUAACAUUAGCUUGCUGGAGAAAGAUAUCCGGUAGGCAUUCCUUUAUACUCAUUAUUGCUUAUAUGUUUAGCCUGUAUUAUAAUUAAAAUGUAACAAAGUUGAUGCUCUUGAGUAUCAUGCUGAAAUGUACAUUGUCAUUUUAGACAUGCAACCUGUCAGCCUUUCCUAAUAAAUGAGAUCUUAUUUAUGUUUUAAAUAUUGUCAAAUAUUGAUGUAGCUUCAGUAGUUUUUUGUUGAAAUAUACACUAUGUGUGUGCACUUACUAGUUUAAAGUUGGAGGUGAAAGAAACCCUAACAUAGAUUCCGGCCUAUGACAUAGGUUACAACUCUGAAGAGUUUUAUCACAAACUUAGUGCAAUAAGGUAUUUUCAUUAGAGCAAAUCCCAAAUUUCUACAAAUUAGCCUCGUACAUAGCAAAAUGAUAGUUAAACCUCAUGGAAGACAAAGAAACCAUUUAAAUUUUAGUCAAAUGAUAAGUCACUCUAAGUCUACACUUUUUCUGUAUCCUGACCACUUCUUUAUAUCAUCAAAAUGCAGUGACUAACAAAGAAUAACUAGAAUAAUCAGACAUGUGAACAAUCUCCCUAAAGGAAAAACAUCGGAUAACUUAUUAUUGUUUCAAUUUAGAGUUGUAUUCUAACAUUCCUAGCAAGUCAGUCUCCAGCAUCAAACAAUUCAGACAGCACUAUGGUUUUCUCAUUUACCACUAAAGUUUUACAUUCUGUGAUACACUCUAUCAUAGAGCAUUUGAGUAGUUAUCAACAAAUGAGGGCAAUAAUGUGACAACUAUACCUGUCUGGGCAGCUCCCGGCGAAUGACAGCCAAAUGAGUAUUCCCUUCACAUAGAUUUCCAAGCUUAUCCAGGAACUGGAUGUCAAGCUGAGUAAUAUCACCCUCCACGACCUCACACACCACCUCCUUUGUGUUCAGAUUCCCAAAAUUGACAACCUGGGCGCAAGCAUACCCCUCAUCCUGGUACCACUUCUGCACCCGGUCCCGAAUCCUCUGCAGCAACCUAGCACUCACUUUCCCCCUCUCGCGGAGCAUCUGCAUCACCUCCCGCCGGACUGUCACAGGCAACAAGCAUGACCUUGAGCGCUCGAUCCUCCUCCUGUAUUCCCUCUCCUGGCUUCGGAAGUACUCUAACUUCUCCCUCUCCGUCAUGUCCGGGUCCAUCUCCAUCUGCUUCGUCUGCGGCAUCAGUCCGACGUUGAUGCAACGAAAUGCGUCCGCAGACUGCCACGUGCUCUCGGCGAACGACACUGUGAGGGCCAAGGUGCCAUCGGGCUUGGUCUUGCCUUGGAGGUCGACCUUCUCAAACAUGCCGGAAGCGGCCAGGUUUUCCAACUCUGACUGGAGCUGGGCCUUGGUGUAGACGCCACCGUUGCGCAGCGACACCAUCUCGAAGAAGGAGUCCUCCGUGCCGGCGACGGUGGUCGAGCGCCGGCGGUCAAAGAGCAGGAUGUCGGAGAUCUUAUACCGCUUGAGGCCGCUCAGCUUGUUGAGCUGGACGACGAUGUUAGCCGGUAAGCCAUGGGGGUCCCACUCCCGGCCGGGGCCGCCCUCCUCCUUCGCAAGCGCCACCAACGGGGAGAACAGGUUAGACCAGAAACCACCCCCAUCGCCGCCGCCUCCCCGGUACCAACCUCCGCCACCGCCGCCGUCAAUGGGGGGAGGGGAGGACGAAGCAAGCAAGAUGAACCCGCCACCAGCCGCGGCGGCAAAGGAGACCGCGGAGGCGGAGAAGGCUGAAAGGGAUUUCUUGCAGGCACCAAAAAUGGAAGGUUUAGGGGCCAUGGAUCUGUCGGAGGAGGGAUGCUUGCCCCUCCGUGGUGCAGCAGAGGAGUGGAUCUGGGGCCGGAGGAGCUGCUUGGGGGCGGUGAAGGCCAUGGCAGCUUGGAGAUUGGGAAGGGAAUGGAAGGGGGGAGAGAGGCGGCGGUGAGGGUUAGGAAAGCACAAAUGGCUUCUCCAAGAAAGGCACCACGAGUUAGGGGGUGCGGGUGACGAGCCUCGAUGAUAAAAGUAAAGGGUUUCGCCAGGGUUUAUGUGAUACCGGGCUCACUGCUCAUCGCCUGGGUUGGACUCACUCACUCAUUAGGGCCAUUUCUAAUAUUAUUUUGGAUAAAUUUUUUUAUUAAAAAAAAACUCAAGAUUUUAUUUUUUUUAUUCUUUUUUCAAAAAAUUAUCUCUACCUUUCAUCACAUCGAUCAUAUGAUCAUCUUUGCUAUCCGUUAUCUUCACCCCGUUGCUCUCAUCUACUUUUCUAUGGAUCUCGCAACGAAUAGAAGAUAAUCAUAUGUUGAAUUAUAAUAUUUCUGUUAUAUUAAUAAAAAAAAUAUUAUAAUUUAAUUAAAAUUAGUUGCAGUAUUUUUCAAUUGAGUUUUUAUUAUAUCGAUUAAAAAAAUUAUAACUCAAUUAAAACAUAUUGUAAUCAGACAUAUUAUUCAAUUAAAAUAUCUACCUACCAAUUUCUUGGCAGUCGAAGGAGUUUUGACCGAUUCUUGUUUAGUAUCCUUCGUCGUCGUCCCAAUCGACGUCCCUCUCUCCGAACCCUCCUCUUCAUACUUGAGCGACCCAAACGUUGCUCUUGGCUGUCGUGCUCCGACCGUCGAGGCCAGGGACUUUGAGCCUCGUCCUUCUACUCGAUAAGGAACAACCCCUUGCAUCUUAUCUCGAGCGUGUUGGGGUUGCUCCACAACGGGAGAUCUUGUGUGUGUCGGAGCAACCUCGAUCAAGACCCGAGCAUCAGUUUAUUGUCCUCCUCGGUCGUCGUUGGCGUCAAGGAUGCCCAACAUCACCACUGCGGAUGGCGACGAUGGCUCGACGGGGGCGGAGGUGAGCGCAAUCUACCACCGUCAUGAGGUGGCGCAGUUGAAGUUCCAAACAGGAGAAGCCACAAGUGCAAGACCGCAACUAUUUGCAUCGGACGAAGAUCUCGGCGGUGGCGCUUUGGAAGAUGGUGAUGCGCGACCACUUUGCCUUGCCCGUUGAGCGUACCAAGAGACACAACAAUGUUCAUGCUAAUGCACACGAGUACAUGGUAAGUAUCUCAGACCAACAAGCAUGUGAGACACCAAAAAUAGUCUGUUUUUUUUAUUAUUAUUUUGAGACUUUCUUUCUCAGUUUAUAGUAUAUUUGUAUUAGUUUACAUGAUUUUUUAGAGGUGUAAAAAGUAUUAUAAUCCUAUUCAAAAACAAUGUAGAAGUCAAGUUUUUUACAUGUUCUUAUUCAUGAUCGAUAAAAAUACUUAUUUGAAACCAAUCAAAGUUGAUAAACCUUCUUUGGCUAUAAUAUUUUUGUAUAGACUUGUAAGAUUUUUAUGAAUGCAUAAAAAAAACACUAUAAUCCUAUUAAAAAUUAUUAUAAUGGAUAUAAAAGUCUAUAUAUAUAUAUAUAUAUAUAUAUAUAUAUAUAUAUAUAUAUAUAUAUAUAUAUAUAUAUUCUUAUUCAUGAACUAAUAAAAAUACCUAUUUAUAAUCCAACUAAGGUGGAUAAGUUAGUUUGUAUGGGAUUUUGAGUCUUUCAUGUAUUUUUAUGAAUAUGUCAAAAAUAUUAUAAUCGUGUUAAAAAAUGCUGUAUAAAAGUCAAGUUUAUUACAUGUNNNNNNNNNNNNNNNNNNNNUUCUUUGGCUAUAAUAUUUUUGUAUAGACUUGUAAGAUUUUUAUGAAUGCAUAAAAAAAACACUAUAAUCCUAUUAAAAAUUAUUAUAAUGGAUAUAAAAGUCUAUAUAUAUAUAUAUAUAUAUAUAUAUAUAUAUAUAUAUAUAUAUAUAUAUAUAUAUAUAUUCUUAUUCAUGAACUAAUAAAAAUACCUAAUUAUAAUCCAACUAAGGUGGAUAAGUUAGUUUGUAUGGGAUUUUGAGUCUUUCAUGUAUUUUUAUGAAUAUGUCAAAAAUAUUAUAAUCGUGUUAAAAAAUGCUGUAUAAAAGUCAAGUUUAUUACAUGUUCUUAUUCUGAAAUGAAUAAAAGUACCUAUUUGAAACUCCACAAAGGAUGAUAAAUUAAUUUUUUAAAAUGUCUAAAACAUUUGACAUUACUUCCAUAUCAAAGUGCAUCCUCACUGAUGAAGCAAACACAUAUGCUUCUUUUUAUUUAUUUAUUUAUUUUUAAUAUAUUAACGAUUUCAAGCAUUCGUGUUAAACUAUGGAGCGAUCAAGUUAAGGGCUCAUAACCGAGGUGUACGGCUCAGGAAAGAGUUUGUUCGACUGAGAUACAAACAUCGGUGCAUAGACUCAUGAGAAAUUGUUCGCGAUGGAGAUACCCGUACGAUUUUAUCCUUGUUGGAGCAUGUGAACUCAAAAAAUACUUUUGAGAUUAAGAGAGAUCUAACGAACUUUAUGAACCCUUAGUUCCCAUACUCCUCAACCAAAACUAAAUGAUCUUAUCAAUUGGAUAAGUUGGGUAUAUAAGUUAUUAGAAAGCAAGAGCUAUAGAUGUUCAUGUCGAAACGUAAAUUAGCCAAUGGAGUCUACAAACAUGAACUGCAAGUUAUCAUAUAUAACCGCACUGUUUGGCGAAAAGAAUCAUUAGUUAACUAAGAUUUCAUCCUUCGGUUUCCAUAUUUCAUGGUCAUCGUGUGAAACAAUCAUUAGUUAACUACCAUGGUACUAAUCACCAAUGAUAUUUGUGAUAGAGUUCGGUGCAUGUGGGUGGUGUUUGAUGGUAUAGCUAAUUUUACUUUGCCAAAGUAUAUACACAUCCAUCGAGUUUGCUCUUUCUCUUAGAGAUCGACUUGUUUUUCUCACAUUAACAGGUGUUUGCUGCACAUCAGAUGUUCUAAAAGCUAUACCCAUUCAUUCUAAAGACAGCUUAUGGAGAUACCAUGCCAAAGGUUUUGCAUGUAGGUCAGACAACUUGUGUGCAAGUGGUUUCUAAACUGUUGAAAGAAGAAAGGCACUGAAGCAUGGGGUGUGGAACCAUAUGAUUUCGAAGAUGCUGUAAAAGCUUUGUGCGUGUAGCUUACUGAUAUCUUCCCACUACCAUACAGGCCAAAAUCAUUCUCCUCGUUUAGAAGAUGCUGCAAAAAGCUUUGUGCGUCUAGUUGACUGAUAUCAGAAGAAUGCUGCAAAAAGCUUUGUGCGUUAGUUGACUGAUAUAAGAAGAAUUCACUUAAAGUAAGAUUCUUUAGGAUUGGCAGAACUCUCUAAUGAUUUAUCUUAGACUCUUUACGCUCAUCUAUAAAUAAACAUUAUUUUUAGAGAUUGAUAAUAAGAAAAAAAUAAAGAAAGGGAUUACAGUCUUUCUCCCGACUUUUUUUCCUAAUGAUCUAGUUUUUUUUUUAAAUUCAUAGCGAUUUUGGAUUAAAGACGAUAACUUUACAAAAUUAAACAGAGAUAUCUUUUCAGAUGACAUCAAAAGACACGUAUUGUUAAUUCAGAUCUAAUUAUUUGAUUUUAAUUCUAGCAUAAAAGAUUGUUUUCGUAUUUAAUACAACAUAUUACAGAUUUUAGAUAUCAGAGUUCUUAAGAUCAAAUACAUUAAAUCUAUUUUAUUUACGAUAAUACAUAUUUUUCACCAAGCAUCGACAGAAUCUAUAUUUAUUUGGCCCGGAAUCUAUCGUUUAUAAAUAUACCUUUGAAUUGAACCAUAACCGAAGAAGACGAGCUCGCCAGGGAAGGCAGAAAAAAAAAAAGGGAAACUCUUUCACGAUCAUUGAAGUAUGGCGAGCGUCAACCUCGACCUUGAAGAAGGAGAAGGGAGCAGCGAGCGGAAUGGUUUGAUAGAAAGAAUCAAGCAUGUAACACCUUCCUUCCUUCCUUCUUUCAUUCUUUACCCUGCUUCCUGAUUCAGCACAUUCCUCUCCCUCAUCUACUGCGUUAUCUGAUGAUGACAGAUUACACGGAUCAUUCUCGAUCGCACCAAUCCAUGUGUUCCGGCUUCUCUCACUGCCACGAAGGACUCUGUCAUUUCCAAACUGAAGUGGUGCAAGCAAAACAAGUUACAGGCGUCCUUUUACGUUGGGAUCAUCCUUUACCCGGGUGGUUUAUUUGCUGCACAAGGUAGCUACCACCUUCGGAUGGUCAACUACGUCGCUCCAUGUCUCGCUGCUCUGCCCGCUGUAACUCGAUUCCACGAACACUUUAGAAAUCUCGAGCAGAUCAGGGACAUCGGCGACAAUUUACAGACUGGAACAGUUGAUCAGAGAGUUAUCAGCUUCACUUGAUGGAGUGGCGAGUGUCGGAAGAACAAAUCAAGAAGUUGAAGAAGUCGAUCCAAACGGAGUCGGAAGAUGCGAAAUGUGCAAAACAAACCAACAGUUGGUGUGAUGUACAUCACUCCACAAUUUCAAGUCAUCGGAUUUAUGAUGUUGUAUAUCAACAGUUAGAACAGUUAGUGUCUUGCUAUAUUUUACCAAGUAAAACAUUAACUUAAAAUAAGGUUUUGAUUUAAGAGUUGUAGUUAAGAUAGGAGUUCCUGUCAUCUUGGAUUGAUCCCUCUAUGAAUAGAAGGCUUGUAUAGUGCUCUCUAUUUGAUAAGUUAUCAUAUUUAAUAAGAAUUUUAGUUUUAAAGUUUCCUCUUUUUUUUUUCUCCUCUUAUUUAUGAUUUCUUUAUAGCCACCACCACUUUGCAAGUUAUUUUUAAACAAACAAGAGGAUUGAUUAUUUUAGUUUUGUAAGCAUUAUUACCUAAGAAUAAAUCAUAGAGACUAUCAACUACUUUGACUGAUAAAAUUAAGAUUUUGAUCAUAUUUCUAUAAAAUAAAGGGAAUGUUACAAAGUAGAGUGGUUAGACGUGUUUAAGACAGGUGUGAGUUUUAGACAAAACGCGUCCAAGCAAUCUACUUUGUAACAUCCCUUAGUUGCUCUUUGAUUGGAAUCAAAUGGAGCCAUACGCUUACUUAGAUUGCAAGCAAUACACAAACGAGCAGCUCUUAUGUGAACGGAAUGCGGGCCUAAUUGUUCUUUAAUUUUCUGUUCCUUAGUAAUAGUGUUAAAUUUAUGCUAAAGAUGAGAUAUUUUCUUAUCGUUGAUAAAAACAAAUUAUCAACAACGGAUCCCUUCUCCCGCUCUUGAGGUCGAGCCAGAGCCCGCUACAACGGGUCCCUUCUCUCGCUCACACGGUCGAGCCCAAACCCGCUAUGACGAAUCCUUUCCGCCCGCUGACACAGUUAAGCUAGAACCCGAUACGAUAAGUCCUUUCUCUCGCUUAUGCGGUCGAGCUCAAACUAGUUUCAAUGGGUCCUUUCCUUCCACUGAUGUGGUCAGCCAUAACCUGCUACGACGGGUCCCUCCUCCCACUCAUGCGGUCGAGCCAAAGUUCGCUAUGAUGAGUCCCUCCUCUCGCUCAUGCAGUCGAACCAAGGCCUACUACGACGGAUCCCUUCUCCCGCUCAUGUGGUUGAACCAGAGCAUACUAUAAUGGGUCCCUCCUCUCACCCAUGGUGAUCGAAUCAAGCCCCGUUACAACAGAAGCUGCUAAGGUGGAUCCACUCUCCUGCCCAUGGUGGUCAGAUCAAGAUCCACUACGACAGAAGUCACUAAGGUAAAUCCACUCUCUCGCCUAUAGUUGUCGGAUCAAAACCCUCUAAGGCGAAGCCACUCUAUCACCCAUGAUGGUCGAAACAAGACUAGUUAUGACGAAAGCCGCUAAGGCGAAUCCACUCUCCUACCUAUGACGAUCGAAUCGAGACCCACUAUGAUGGAAGCCGCUAAGGCAGAGCCACUCUCCCGCCCAUGGCGAUCAAAUUAAGACCCUCUCACCCAUAGCGGUUGAAUCAAGACUCACUAUAGUGGACUUAUACCGAUACUCCCACUACCAUGGUCAAAUCAAGACCUGCUAUAGCGGAUUGAUACUGAUACUCUUGUUACGACGGAUUGAUAUUGAUACUCCUACUAUGACAGAUUGAUACCGAUACUCCCACUAUAGCAGUCAAAUUAAGAUCUACUACGACGAAGCCACCACGAUGGACUAAAUCAAUCUUCUUGCUCACACGGUUGAGCCAACACCUACUACUAUGGACUUACACUCCCACCUAGGCGGUCGAAUACCUACCUCUAGAGGUGGAAGAAGGGGCAGGACCAAAAGAAGACUCAAUCUCCUGUGUGAAAGGAAGAGGCAAAAAUGGAGAAGGAAGCCCUCUUGAAGCAAAAGGGGGGGUAAAAAAAGAGAGUGAAUGAAUUCAACGAGCAAAAGGGGGAUAAUUAAGAUAGAGAGGGAGUAAAAAAGAAAGGGGUCUCUUAGGUUAACACAUAUCUGAACAAAGAAUUGCCCUAGCAAGAAAGCACAACCCACCCUAAGGGGCUUCACACCAACCUCCAUGAUACCAAUGAUGAACCCAAAGAUAAAUAACGUGAUCACGUCAUCGUGCAGGAAUGCAUGAAAAAUGAUAUCAUUCGAGACCACCAUUCGAAUCUUCGAAAAACACCUUUAUUGGGGGACGAGUGAUAGGGAUAAAUCCUGGACCCCCCCCCCCCGCCAGCUUCUCUCGCCACAUAAGUAACACAUAAACAAAACCUUGGUAACACCUAUUCCUUAUGACUACCUCUUCUACCUUGACUUCCCAAAGUGGGCCCACAUGAACCACUUCUCAUCGAUCCUGCAGUUGAGAAAAUAAACCUGACUCUACAUUGAUGGCGAACGACAUGGCUUGGCUUUACCAUCUUUCCCUUCCGAAUGAAUGACGAGGGGACCACACCUUGCCUAACUUAAAGAAGCAAGGAAGCCCGAUUGAAGGCAUCAUUUUGAUAUUCCCCAAACGUUGCCUCUAAGAGUACACGUUGGUUAGCGACCUGCAUUAAAUGUUUUUGUCAUGUCCGGUAAGAGGGAUCUUGAUGGAAGCCCGUCCACUUUACCCAUCGCCUAGGUAUAAAAGUCAUGCCCUGAGCCAAGCUAGGGCAAGCAAAUAAAAGAGACUCUUUACUCUCUUAACUCAUUGCUAAUAAUAUUGUUGUCUUUCUCCCCCUCUGCUUUCCUGACUUAAGCAUCGAAAAUAUCGAGCCAAGACACCCUCGAUGCAGGCUUGUUGUACAAGUUCAUCAACGUAACUUGGAGGUACAACCAAAAUGCUACCCAACAUAGGAGAUCCCCUAGCUCCCAAACCAAGCUUCAUCGCUCAAAGAUUGAGGUGCACCUAGCGAACCGUGUCUUUCUACAGCUUCCUUCAUCUUACCCGCAACAUCUACUUUCCACGUUAGCUAGGAAGAGGCAUCAUAAGAGACCUACACUUUUGACAUAAAAUCAAUCGAGCUAACUCAUUUGUGUUAACAAUCUAUGAAUGUAUUAUUUCUAGAGAAAGACAAUGUAAUGUAUCAUUAGUCAAUGUGAUACAAUGCUAGGUUUUCAAUCGUGUCAGUGAUAUUUUUUUUUAAGAUUGUAAUACAAUUUGAGUCUAUGAGACAUUGUGUUGUAGUAAUUGCUUAUCAAUUGCGUUUUGAUCGAAUAUUUCAUUUUAUAAGAUGUUACUGUGUUUUUGCCCCCACUGUAUUGUGUUAUAAGUUAUGAUUUUAUAGGGCUGCAUUAGUUAUGUUUUGAUUAUAUUUCUCAAUCAAUUGUGACUAGAUUCGAUUAUAUUAUUUUUACAAUAAGUUGAAAGUACUUUCAACGAAAAAAUAUUAUAACUUAAUUAGAAAAUACCGAGUUAUCUCAUAGUCAUUUUAAAUAUUCUUCUUCAACAGCAAAUCAAAGCUACUGCACUAUGGUUGAUGCCAAUGAAUUAUAUGCAUAAAAAAAACUGAAUGGUGGAUAUAUUAACCAAGUUACAGUAUUUUUAUCAAGAAAAAUAUUAUAACUAGCUUUUUUAAUGCUAAUUUUGAAUUUUUUUUUUCUUCAAUAGUCUAUUUGUAAAUCAAAGCUGUGCCAAUCAAUCUGCCAAUGAAUUACAUGAUUAAAAAAAUUGACAAGUAAAAAAUUUAAUUAAAAAAUAAUUCUCUUAUAAUAUUUUUAUUAAUAUUAUAAAACAUUAUAACUUAAUGGAAAAAAAAACUCUAAUUGGUCUAUAGCACUGAGUGAGUUACUAUGUUUUCAUUAAUAUCACAAAAACAUUCAAAUUCAAUAAGAAAAAUAAUAUUAUUUUUGGGCCAAAUUUUUGGAUAAUGGCAGAGAUUUUGGGUUCAAUUUGAUCUAUUACUGGAUAUUAUUUGUAGUUAUCACAACCAAAGCGAAAGCCUUAAAAAAAAUUAAUUUUUUAUUUUUUUUAAAUAAACUAAAUCCUCGUUUAUCGGGGCAGCAAAAGCAACGCGGCGACCAAGCGACCCGAGAGAGGGAGAGCAAUACCCGCCGGUGAGAGAUGGGAGACGCGGCGGGCAGCAGCAGCGGCCAUGCGACCGCGAGAUGGUCUCUCGGAGGAAUGACAGCCCUCGUCACGGGCGGAACCAGAGGAAUCGGGUCCGUUUCCUUCUCCAUCCCUUCUUCCCAUCCUCCUCCUAUAUCUUCCUUUUUCCUUCCCCCUUCUUAACCCUUGGUCUUCUCGCAUUCCAAUUCUCAAAAGGCACGCGGUGGUGGAGGAAUUGGCGGGGCUGGGCGCGUCGGUGCACACCUGCUCCCGCAAAGAGGCCGACCUCACCGAGUGCUUGAGGAAAUGGGCGGCCAAAGGGUUUCGCGUCACCGGCUCCGUCUGCGACCUCUCCUCUAGGGAGCAAAGAGAUCAGUUGAUCCGGGAAGUUUCUGCGACCUUCAACGGGAAGCUCAACAUACUUGUACGUCCCGGCUUUGUCUCACCGUUGCACCUAAGGAAUCUACAACUAAACCGUGUUACCUAAUUUUCUACAGGUAAACAAUGUUGGGACAAAUAUAAGGAAGCCGACUGUUGAAUAUAGCGCCGAAGAGUACUCAUUCCUCAUGGCCACAAAUCUGGAAUCUGCUUACCAUUUGUGCCAACUUGCUCAUCCUCUUCUUAAAGCAUCGGGAAUGGGAAGCAUCGUGUUCAUUUCUUCUGUUGCUGGGGUGGUAGCUCUAAGUAGUGGUUCCAUUUAUGCAGCAGCCAAAGGUAUUGGUUAGUGAUGGCUGGUAUUCAUAUGCAUUGAUUCCUUUUAGUAGAAGCGCAGCAAAUUGUCAUGGUUUUCAUAUAUAAAACACUCGUUAACAAAGUGCUCCUUUCAGCUGCAAUGAACCAAAUGACGAAGAACUUGGCAUGUGAGUGGGCCAAAGACAAUAUUAGAACCAACAGUGUUUCACCAUGGUACAUCAAGACUAAACUAGUGGAGCAUGUAUGUUCCUCAUUGCCUAUUCAUUUGAAAUUAUGAUACUUAUUAAGUCGUGCGCUUCUGGAAAUUUUGCAUUUUUAUUGUAUAAUUAAUAGAUGCAUUGCAUGGUGACAACACGCUUACACAGGGAAUAUUGACAAUGUAUAAUUUACUUUAACUUGAGUGCUUUUGAGUGAUUUCACAUCGCCUAAAGUGCAUUAAACUCCUCUCAUGGGAAAAUAUUCACUAAGAUUUAUAUGGCUAUUUGCAACUAGCUACUGGAGAGACAUUUUGCAGUUUUUAGCCGGGAGCACUUUGUCAAAGCUUAAUGACAGGAAAAAAUUCAUGUAACUAACUCCAAAUAGUUGCAGCAUUACAGCCUGUUGUUGUUGUAAGUUGUAACUGGGAGCACUGCUUAACAUGGAAUUUGACUUGUAGGAUAAGCCACAUAGGUGAAAUUUAAGAGUUUGCUAAGAGGAUGGAAACAAGUGCUCCUAUAUUGUCAAAUUUUAGAGUAUAGUUUGUCGCAUAGGUUCACUAGAGAGUUAUGAGUUUCUAAAAUGUUGAGGAAAAUUGUGUCCAUUGGCCAAGGAAAUGAAUGAAACAAAAUACAAAAGGAACUGUCAUAGACUACCAAUAAUAUCAGAACAGAGAGAAGAAAAUUAGAACAAAAGACACGAGUCAAGGUUUGAAAAUUAGAACACAAGUAACAGGAUCGACGAUCCAUUUCUUUGCAAAAGAAUGAUUUGAAUCUGUCAUAAAUUCAUAGAUUGGUCAUACAGUUACUUCAAAGGAAUCACAUUUUCUGUUGCUUACAACUCGAUGAAUGCUCAUCUUUAUGGUUAUUUAAGGGCGUUGCUUCUGAUACUUCCAUCUAAAUCAUUUUUGGCCUUCCCUUAUAUAGAUAGCUAUUAACUUCUAGAACAUCCUAUUUACUCAACCCCUUUGCUUUUCUCUCUCUUUUUUUUUCAUUUUUAAUUUGACUUCCUAUGCUCGAGUAAUAUUUUUCCAAGAAUGGGACACAAGCUAAACAGCAAUGCUAUCUUCUUUGGAUAUUUUUGAAGCAUAACUUUGUCGGCAUUUGUUUUGUGAAUUAGUUAGGGAAAUGUUCCUUUUUGGUAUUUUACAUUAUAGUGUUCUAACUAAAAUGAAGCAAACAUAAAUGCUUCUUUUUAACUUUUUUCAAUAGAUUAACGAUUUCAAGCAUUGCUGUUAAAUCAUGGAGCGAUCAAGCCAUGUUGUGGCUACGCUAAGUGAAAGUAGAUUUUGCCAGAAACUCAAUUGCAUCUUUGAUGACAAUUUGAUUGGAUAAGUUGGGUAUAUAAGUUGUUAGAAAGCAGGAGCUAAAAUUUUGGUUGCAAAUCCAUGCAUUUUUUAUUUGAAUUGAGUUAUCAGAAAAGAACUUGCAUGCAUGUUGGAUUUAAUACAGAAUAUACUCAUAUACUUUAGUUACUAAAGUAAUAUGCUUGAUUCUUGUGGUUACUCUUUCUAAUGUUUUUCUUGGUCUGACAAUGGAAACAAAUUAAUCCUGUAAUAGACGGUUUUUUGGUACUCGUUUUAGAAUUGGGUUUCAACUAAUAGGUUAUGCAAAUCUGGCGAUGGAACAUUAAGGGAGAGGAACAAAAUAAACGUUCCUCAUCUGUAUAGCAAAAAAUGUUCAAUUUCUGUUUUCUUUAUUGUAAUGUUUUAUUGGUAUUAUUGGAUUAGAAAAUAAGUACUGCAUCAUAUAUUCAUGAAUUUAUAUCUUCGUGGCCAGUGAAACUCUAUCUCAUGCAACUUGUUUAGGUUUUUUCAAAUAUUACCAUUUGCAAUUCUUUUGUCAUACAGAGAUGUAGUUAUGACAUGUAGUGAAUGUACUUGGAGAUCUAAUGUGCCACUUACAGGACAAGAAAUGGAGGCUUCAAGACCGCAUUUAUGCUGCUUAUUUCAUAACAAUUGUUUUGAUGAAUUCACUAUUGCUGCUUAGUCAGGACAUCACAUUACUGUUGCUGUUGUAUUGCCUAUUAUGCUCGAACCAAGAUAUCUUUCUUCACCUCCCUCCUAGGCUUCAAUAACAUCUCCUUUCUCACAGCUACUCAAUGACAAAGAUUCUCUGCAAAGGAUAAUUGAUCGAACGCCCCUCGGCCGAGUUGGAGAGCCCGAAGAAGUGUCGUCGCUGGUCGGAUAUCUGUGCCUACCCGCUGCUUCUUACAUAACUGGGCAGAUAAUUUCAGUCGAUGGCGGAAUGACUGUAAAUGGCUUUUAUCCAAGUGGGUAAAAAUCAAGGUAGUGUUGGGCUUUGUUUGCUUCUCAGCUUUUCUUUACUUAAAUCUGCAAAUGUCGAACUGCUUCGAUCGUUUGAAGCGAGUAGCUCUAGUAUCAAGAUGAAUUCAUGUCUAAGUGCAAGACAUGGUGCCGGUUUCUAACCUGCAAUCCUUUGAAUAACUCUAGCUGGUUAGACACCUCCAGCAGCACUUGAUGGCGAAGUAAACUCGAGUUAUCUUUGUUCUGCUUCUGUUUUUUCAGUAUAAUUGUUUACAUGCAGCUCGUACUAGCGUGAGACAAUGGAAUGGCAUUAGAAACUGCGUAAUGAUUAAAUUAUUAGAUAUCAUGUAGUCACUACUAAAUAUUUUACGACAUUAUAGCUUGUUGUUGUCCUAACUUAAAUACAGAGUUUAAAUGGAAUAUGGACCAUAUAAACUUAUUGGUGAACUUGGUCGAGGAGUCGGCACGGCUCGAUCCGAUCCCGGAUACGCAAGGUUGCUCACGCGGAGACUCGGGAAGCAGAAGUGCGUGUCGGGUCGGGUUGAGUUAUGAGCCUUGUUGCUUGCUUCUUCAUCGCUAGCUCCUGCACAUAGGUUAAGGUUGGGAGGGGAGUUUUCUGACUCGACCCCUUUUAGGUGAAAUAUAAGUGAGUUUAAUAUGUGAAAAGUCCCAUUAGCAUUGGGCAGGUGGUGGGUUUUUAUACCUGCAAAUGGGGGUCGGUCGUAUCUCGUAUGUUAAUGAUUGCCGACCCCUUAAGUGGUCAGCCCAUGCCUUUUGUGCGAACGUUAAUCGACCUGUACGAAUCGACAUCGAGCGAUCUAUACUCGAUAGUACCGUUCUGAACCGGGGUAGUUUCGUACCCAACGACGUCGCUUGUACGACCUUGUACAGCUUGAGAGGAUGGUUGCAUCGUUUGAGUUCAAGGCAUUGCUCCGACGUGGUCUGUCACAUCGGUUUUGAAGUUCCACGUUGCUGUCAUAGCUGUGGAAUGCUGCGAAAGGGUGUGCUACAAAAUUGUGCCCUAUCAAGUCUUAAUAAGAUUAUAAAAUUAGAUUCAUAUUAACAAUUCAAAUAUAUGACUUCAGUAUUUCUUUACGACAACGACGAUUACAAUUGGUCAUGGAAAUAUACGCUAUUGGUAGAGUAAGAAGGUGGAUUAUAUAUAUUGAUCUUGUAUUGGAUUGGCAAACACAUUUAAAUCAAAUACAAACAUUUAAACAUUUCCGCCAUAAACGUGCACAGAAUGGAUUUUGUGUUUUUGUUUUUUUUAACCGAGUCGAAGAAUGAUAAAUAUUUUGGACGGCUCUUAAUGGACUUGAUCGAUGGUUGGGAUGAGUCAGGGCUCCUCACAUUUAUGCUGCCCAAUCUCGCUCUUGUUAUCGUGUGGAAAGCCAGAAAGCUACGAACAAUCGUCGAGCUCGGCCUUGGCCUUGGCCUUUAGAUCUGGUAAGGAAGACUUCCGAUUCCCCGUUUACAGGUCGCUUUAUCUUCUUUCGAUCCUCCCUAGGGUCUUGGUCGUCACUGCUCUUGGAUCUGGUUUCUUUUGCUCGACGAUCUCGCCCUGCGUUCCACACUUCACAUUGUCGAUUUCGAUUGCUCGCUUGGCACAUUGGAUCCGCAGCGGAUUUGGCUUCUUGCGAUCGCGUUUAGGUUCUUGUCACCUCUGUGCAAGUCCAUAGAUCCUUCCCUUACUUCUGGGGAUGGAAUUGCUCUGCUUUGUGUUAUACUUUAUUUAUUUAGGGAAUUUGCGCCUAUAAAUUUGGGCUUGUUCGAUCUAAAAAUGUGUGUGCUCCGCUCAUGUUCUGCGUACUGUUUGAGGUUGAUCUGACGAUUUCUUUUCCCAUCAUAGUUUUUGAUCAGGCUUGCGGGAUUGGAAGAACUGAAGUAUGGCGUCGAGGCGAGCGAUUAAUCCAUCUCGACGCGUGGCUGAUAGCGGAAGCAUUCCGCUCGUCAGCUCACUACAUCAAAAGUCAAGGAAUUCGCCCCUAGUAUCUGUUGCAUUGGUUAUUCUGGUACAUCUUUUCUCAUUUCAGCGUGUAAUUGCUUUCUUAAGGAAUAUAGGUGCGCCAUCCGCGGAUGGGUGAUGGAGAAUUUAGAAUCUGAUGGGUUCCCUUUCUGAAUUUUUAGGGUGCUUUUCUUCUCAUUGGUUACUCAUUUAGAGGCUCAGGUACGUGUGACUCUCCUAUCAAAUAUUUGAGGGAGAAUCAAGCAUUUGAUCCAUUGUUAAGGAGAACCAAUUGUCUAUAGAUAUUUAAUCUUUGGAGUCCUCUUAUUUACUUUCAUUUGUUGGCUAAACUAUCAUGAUUGAACGAACUACUUUUCCUCCUUCGAUGAACAGGUGGAUUUGCUGGUAACAAGGAAGCUAUAAAUAUUGGUCAAGGUACAUAAUCUUUUUUUUUUGUCAUCUCUGUAGUCUUUCUUGAAUUAAGGUAAAUUUCUUGUCUGAUUACAUGGUUUUCUACGCUUAUUCCUCUCAAGCUGGCCUAAGUUCACUUUUCAUUUAAAAUUUAUAUAUUAUUUGUUGAUUUUGAGAAAAACUCCACGGGUUGUAAAUAUGGUACUUAGUUCCUUCUUUUUUUUUGUUUUAACAUGUGUUUUACCUUUAUGUCAAACUUUUUGAACCACAUACUCUCUACUAAACUUCACAAGGUCAAUCUCAGGGACAUGCAAGAAGAUUGUAAGUCGCAAAUUAAUAUGCUUAGUUACAUGAAGUUAAAACAUUUGUCCCACAAUUAAGUAUUUGAGUGUGUUGUAUAUCACUGAACUAUGGGUUUAUCUCUCAAGCUUUGUUUGAUUGAUUUAGGAUCAGCUAUAUUGCAUGACAAAAAACUGAGAAGAUUAGAUCAUUGAAGUCUAAUCAAACAUUAGUGUCAUCAACACUCUAAAAUUAGAUUAAGAUUUAUCGUUAAAGCAAGUAUAAAACAGCAGGCUUUGUUUCAAAAUCUAAAAUGCUAGCUCAAGCAAACAAGGGAAUUCACCUGGAACUGUAGAGGAUUUAGAAAAUGGCUAUUUCACAUUUUCUUUUAUGGGAUAGAUGUUCAUAUCAAAACAUAAAUAAGCCAAUGGAGCCUAUAAACAUGAACUGUAAGUUAUCAUGCAUAACCACACUGUUUGGUGAAAAAAAUCCUGGUGAACUAAGAUUUCUUCCUCCAAUUUCCAUAUUUCAUGGUCAUUGUGUGGAAGUGGAACAAUCAUUAGUUAACUACCAUGGUACUAAUUACCAAUGAUAUUUGUGAUAGAAUUUGUUGCAUGUUGGUGUUUGAUGCUAUAGCUAAUUUUACUUUGCCAAAGUAUAUGCACAUCCAUAUUGUUUGCUCUUUCUCUUAAAGAUCAACUUGUUUUUCUCACAUCAACAGGUGUUUCCUGCACAUCAGAUGUUCUACAAGCUAUACCUAUUCUAAAGAAAGCUUAUGGAGAUAGCAUGCGAAAGGUUUUGCAUGUAGGUCCUGACUCUUGUGCAGUGGUUUCUAAACUGUUGAAAGAAGAAGAUACUGAAGCAUGGGGUGUGGAACCAUAUGAUUUGGAAGAUGCUGAUAGCAGUUGCAAAAGCCUUGUGCGCAAAACCUUUGUGCGUGUAGCUGAUAUCAAGUUCCCACUACCAUACAGGCCAAAAUCAUUCUCCCUUGUCAUUGUCUCAGAUUCGUUAGAUUAUUUAUCUCCAAAGUACCUUAACAAGACCCUUCCAGACCUCGCAAGGGUUUCAGCAGAUGGUCUUGUUAUAUUCACUGGUAAUUCUUCAUACCAAAGUAAAACCUUUGCAUGGUGUAGCAUAGUUUUUGAAGUUAUUUUGCUGUAGAAAGCACAUAAUAAUGAAUCUUACUGGUUUUUCUUGCACAGAACUGAGAUUUUUGGUUAUAGUAAGAUUUUGUUUUGCGGACUUUGUCAUGUGCUCAGUAAGGGUUAAGUCAGAUCUGUAGUUACAGGGACAUAUGAAUGUAAAGGUCCAAACUUUUAACUUUAUUUUAUUAGAAUUCAUAACUUUUUAGCUCAUCCUUCGUUUACUUCUUAUUUAAGUAAGCUUAAUAAAAUUUUAUGGAUCACUAUCUUAAUAAAAUUGUUUGAUCGCCAUUGUUUCUUGCUAUUUAGAAAUCUAUAGUCUAAAAUGACACUGGUGAUUGAAUUUUUGCCUUUAAAAAUGUUCUAUCCAAUGGGAAUUCAGAUAAAGAUAUAAUAGAUGAUUCAGAAUAUGUAUUUGCUCAUGUAUGGUUUAUCAUUGGCAUGAGCCCUAGUGUGUUCAGUUCUCUUCUGCUUAUGAUUUAUUUUGUGCAGCACUAAUUUAACUAAUUAUAUUGAGAAUAAUGAGCUCUUCUUCAGUUCUUCCACAUGUCAUAGAAGAUUUUCUACAUGACCAAUGGCUUAAAGGACCAAGAAAAAGGAACACACCUUUUUUGCAUUUAACUUGAGCCAUGGAUCUAGCUGAAAAUUGUUGUUAAUGUUCCCAAUAUAUAUAUUCUUGUUCUUAUUCAUGUGGUAAUGUGAAGUUUUGUAUGGCAGCACUCAUUUAAAUAUACUGUUAAGACACUUUUAAGGUGACUUGCACAUACUUAUUAGUAAUCAUUAGAUAGGGAAUAUUUAUAUGAACUUAUGCCAUAAAAUAAGAAAAGACUGGACAGCAAGCAUACUUUGAAGAUACUGGUGCUCAUUCUUUUUUAAUUUAGUAAUUAUAUGUUUCAUUUUGAGUUUGAUAGCAAAUCUUGUUUCUGUGUUUUCAAGUGGAAAAGCUUGCUUAUUCAAGUUUAUGAUUUUUUUUUACUACAAGUUUAUAAAUUUUGUCUAGUAUAUUUUAGCCAUAUAAUGUCAGAAUUCUAUAUAAAUUCUUAUAGAUUCUUAUGGCUUAGGUAAAUGUUAAACUAUUUACAAAGCUGUGUGAUCUCUGAAAGAUCCUUUAGUAUUUAAGUAUCUUCAUAUUUCUCAUUUCAUCAUAUAAAUUUUGUAGGUCAUCCAGGUCAGCAGAGGGCCAAGGUUUCUGAGCUAGCAAAAUUUGGAAGGCCGGUAUGAUCUGCAGUUAAUAUAUAUAUGUUGCCAUUAUCAUUUUGUAGGAAUCUACAAUUACCAUGAUGUGGUUUUCUUGGACUUACUGAUGGUUGUUUAUGCUUUCUAUACUUUAUGCAUGUACUAACUUCACAUUUUAUUUGUUUUUCUUUUCAUUUUACCUUUUCUUUACCAUCAACCAUUUUCCCUUUGAAAUGCAUCAUUAAUUGGAGGUGGUGAAGAGUAAAGUUUUAAAAGGAAUGACACUUGCUGGCCCUUGUUUGGUCAUAGUUGUUUAAAUAUGUAUACAAAUGAUUGUCUCUAUAUCAUGUCUUGACCCACUAUUGGUUUUGUUUGAAGGCCAAUUGUUCUACCAUACAACUUACAGAGAAAGGAUAGAUUCUAAUUUUGUAUAAUCUCUUAUUGUUUAGUAUGUGCAUCUAAGUCUCAGGAGAGUCGACGAUGACCAAUAAUACCAAGCCAUAGUAUUAAAUUCUGUAGACUCUCUGGCUAUUGCAAUUGGGUUUUGUUGAGUAGCCACCAUAGAUUAUAUUUAAAGAGAAACUCCAAUUGGUUUUCUCGAAUCAACACUUUCUCAGCAUCACAGAGACUGUUCCUUUUGCUCCUUAACAUGAUGAUAUAGGAUUGGAUUGGGAAAUACACAUCUCUACUAGUUUUUAGGAUGAGACCUUGGAGGCAACAAUGAAGAACAAUAGAGAACCAACAUAGUUGUAACUGCAUGUGAAGUAUUCUACUGCACAACCUCGAAAAAGAGAAGAUUUUAUGCAUAUUUUGGUCAUAGAGCUUUCCUCGGCCUUUCCAAGAGAGAGCUAGUCAUUGCAAAAUAGCAUAUUUGUGGAAGAAGCUACAACUCAUGUUUCCAUCAUUGAAGAAGCAGAUGCGUAGGGGAUAUGUGCAAAGCUUGAGUGAAAAAUUGAAAGAUACACAUGGUGGGAGGUUGAUCUCAUUUUUGGGAAAGAAAGGUUGGCGGUCGACUGCUCCAUUUUUCUCAUGUGUCAAUACCACUUAAGCAGAUUCUAGAAAACCCCUGAUUUGCCUGCAUUUCCACUAGCAUUUCACCUUUGUAUCUGUAAAAAUAUUUUAUCAAACUUAGGCUCACUCUUUGAUCAACCUUAAAUUUAUUUCCCCUGCAAAUAUUUAUACUGAUUGUCCAUUAGCAUCCCGGUACAUUUAUGACACCUAGAAAAAUCAUAUUAGUUUGCAUCAAGUUCCUGACAAAUAUCUGAUUGUUUCUCUUGGUAGCACCCAUCACAUUUUCAUGUCUUCCAAUCAUAGGUGUUUAUGGUCCAAGGCAACUGUCAGGUGAUGGUUCAACAUUUCUGCUUCUGUCACAUAAAAUAUAUGUUUGUAGUCAUUCUAACAUUAGAUCAAUUUGUUUAAGUGGCUAAAUUUGGUCAUUGUUCCAUUGCAGUUUAAGAUUAUUACAAUUCUGAUACUUCACUUCAUGGGCAGGCCAAAUUAAGAAGUUCAUCUUGGUGGGUACGAUAUUUCGUUCAGACUGGCUUGGAAGAGAACGAAACUGUUAUGAAGAAGUUUGAGGAAGCUUCAAGCAAGAGUUCUUAUAAACCAAGCUGCCAAAUUUUUCACGUCAGCUCAUAGAAAGCAUCAAAUUUUGGGAGGCCUCCUUUACUAGAACCGAAUACUACGUUGUAGAUCUCAUUUGUGACAGACCGUUGCUGGCUAUUAAAAUUGGUUAUGUUAAUUGACACUACUUCCUCAAAUUGUAGAUCUUCUAUUUUUGUUAUAAUUAAAAUGAUGGAAUGCUAUAAUUGACUUAUUCCUGAUGUGUACAAUUUACAUGAAAUCUCUUAUGUUAAGUGUCAUUGUGUCGGUUGACGAUGCACAAA